rnacentral:lncRNA from 1 species
AUCCCAGUUAAGCCCAGUUGCUCCUUAAACUCUUCCCAGUCCAUCCCAGUCCAUCCUAGUUCAACCCAGUAUCAUCCCAGUGCCUCCCAGUCCAUCCCAGUUCAUCCCAGUGCCACCAUAUUGCCUUCCCAGUUCACCCCAUUCCGUCCCAGUGCCUCCCAGUAUCAUCCCAGUGCCUCCCAGUCCAUCCCAGUUCAUCCCAGUGCCUCCUUUGUGUCUUCCCAGUUCAUCCCAGUUCAUCCCAUCUCAUCCCAGUAUCAUCCCAGUGCCUCCCAGUUCAUCCCAGUGCCUCCCAGUUCAUCCCAGUGCCUCCUUUGUGUCUUCCCAGUCCAUCCCAGUUCAUCCCAGUUCAUCCCAGUUCAUCCCAGUUCAUCCCAGUUACUGUGUCCCCCCCGCAGGCGCCAGCAUCAGACAUGGAAUACGAACGCAGGUAAGGGGGGGGACCCCAAAAAGGAGAGAC